GUGGGGAAUAUUGGACAAUGGGCGAAAGCCUGAUCCAGUCAUGCCGCGUGUGUGAAGAAGGUCUUCGGAUUGUAAAGCACUUUAAGUUGGGAGGAAGGGCAGUAAGUUAAUACCUUGCUGUUUUGACGUUACCGACAGAAUAAGCACCGGCUAACUUCGUGCCAGCAGCCGCGGUAAUACGAAGGGUGCAAGCGUUAAUCGGAAUUACUGGGCGUAAAGCGCGCGUAGGUGGUUUUGUAAGUUGGAGGUGAAAUCCCCGGGCUCAACCUGGGAACUGCCUCCAAAACUGCAUGACUAGAGUACGGUAGAGGGUAGUGGAAUUUCCUGUGUAGCGGUGAAAUGCGUAGAUAUAGGAAGGAACACCAGUGGCGAAGGCGACUACCUGGACUGAUACUGACACUGAGGUGCGAAAGCGUGGGGAGCAAACAGGAUUAGAUACCCUUGUAGUCC
rnacentral:rRNA from 1 species